rnacentral:rRNA from 1 species
GGCGAUCAGAUACCGCCCUAGUUCUGACCGUAAACGAUGCCAACUAGCGAUCCGCCAGUCGACUCAUCGCUCUGGUGGGGAGCUUCCCGGAAACGAAAGUCUUCCGGUUCCGGGGGAAGUAUGGUUGCAAAGCUGAAACUUAAAGGAAUUGACGGAAGGGCACCACCAGGAGUGGAGCCUGCGGCUUAAUUUGACUCAACACGGGGAAACUCACCCGGCCCGGACACCGUAAGGAUUGACAGAUUGAUAGCUUUUUCAUGAUUCGGUGGAUGGUGGUGCAUGGCCGUUCUUAGUUCGUGGAGCGAUUUGUCUGGUUUAUUCCGAUAACGAGCGAGACUCUGGCCUACUAAAUAGUUGACGCAUUGCCACUGUGCGCACAACUUCUUAGAGGGAUUUUCGGUGUUUUCAACCGCACGAAAUUGAGCAAUAACAGGUCUGUGAUGCCCUUAGAUGUCCGAGGCUGCACGCGCGCUACACUGGCAAACGCAACGUGCCUGUCCUGCCCCGAAAGGAGCGGGUAAACCCCUGAAAUUUUGCCGUGAUUGGGAUCGGACAUUGCAACUAUUGUCCGUGAACGAGGAAUUCCUUGUAGGGGCGAGUCAUCAACUCGUCCCGAAUACGUCCCUGCCCUUUGUA